ACUUCCCUGAGUCUCCUUCGUAGGUGUGGUCACUAUAUUUCCUACUUGUGCAGAUCCUAACUGGUUGUAACUCCGUUCAUUCUCUUCCUAACAGUAGUUCAUCAGCCACAUUGGACUAAUCUAAUGCAUUCGAAUUGCCUUGGUGUAUGAAAAUAACGAUAUAGGCUUGAUGUGUACAAGCGCAUAGCUCCUUAUCUAGCCUAAUCUGAAUGUAGCUUAUAUUCUUAAUCUUUUUAUGCACACUAUUUUAGCCAGCGGCAGGUGUUGGGCACUUUGAGGUAUGCAAACCUUCUCAGAGCAAGGGGAGCAAGAGUACCGGUACUGCAUUUCUUAUCUUCAUCACUCAAAAUUCCCAGAACUAAUCGUGAGCUCUUGCUUUGAUACAGAACUAAUCUUGAAGGUGAUAGCCCUGUUUCUUCCCUGUUUUAGAUCAACCGUUCUUCUUUCUUCCUUGGAGCUCCACUGUUUUGGAUGAACUGGACUAACCCUAGAAGGGAUGAAGGUCAUCCACGAGGUGUCUCAAGGUGAACCCCGUGGUACCCGACCAAGUGGCUGGAGGGAAUGGUGUAUGCUCACAAGUUUGUACAGACCAAUUUGUUUCACUCGGACAAGAAUCCCACGAACCUUAAUGUGGCCUUUAAGUUUCAGGUCCUUGGGGUUGGAUGCGGCAACUCGCGGCUCGAAGACAAUCUUUUGUGGUGGGGCGUCGCCGCCGCCGGCGGCACCUGCAUAGACCGUAUCGCUGGGAACGAAGAGAUGCUCCCCUGAUUUGGAGCUGUAGAAAGGAAGUGGUUGCAGACACAAAGUGGGGACACACAACUCCCAGUCAUAAUAUUCUUUAUCUUGGCUCGUUGUUUGGGGAUGGACGCAUCAAUCUGAUGGCGCUCUCCUCCAUGCCAAACGGAUCCUUGGUUCGGAGGCGCGCGGCGCCGACGAUGACAACCUUUCUAUCGACGCAAGGGCAGCAGGAGCUCAUGACGUUGUUGAUGCCACCACCAUGCAUGGGGUUGAUGCAAGGUGGGACAAUGCGAUCACUAAUGGGGAGAACAUAAAACUUCAAUUGAGGGCACUGUGAUUCUCUAGCUACAUGUAUCAUGGUCACCAACCACACAUGUAAAAACCAUGUCUCCCUACUGUAAUUUGAUGAUUUAUUUACAUGUGGCACAGAAUAGUUCAGAGUUCACUCCGAGAAAGAAUUGCUUUGCAUGUACAUUUGCUAAAAGACGGAUGUGCUGAACUUUCGACGGUUCCGAUUGGUCGCUGACAUAACCUUUCCUCUUUUCAUUGAUAGGUCCAAAAGAGAUCCUUAUUUCACC